rnacentral:rRNA from 1 species
GACGAACGCUGGCGGCGUGCUUAACACAUGCAAGUCGAACGGUAAGGCCCUUCGGGGUACACGAGUGGCGAACGGGUGAGUAACACGUGGGUGAUCUGCCCUGCACUUCGGGAUAAGCCUGGGAAACUGGGUCUAAUACCGGAUAGGACUCCGGACUGCAUGGUCUGGGGUGGAAAGCUUUUGCGGUGUGGGAUGGGCCCGCGGCCUAUCAGCUUGUUGGUGGGGUGAUGGCCUACCGAGGCGACGACGGGUAGCCGGCCUGAGAGGGUGACGGGGCACACUGGGAUUGAGAUACGGCACAGACUCCUACGGGAGGCAGCAGGGGGGAAUAUUGCACAAUGGGCGCAAGCCUGAUGCAGCGACGCCGCGUGAGGGAUGACGGCCUUCGGGUUGUAAACCUCUUUCAGCAUCGACGAAGCGAAAGUGACGGUAGGUGCAGAAGAAGGACCGGCCAACUACGUGCCAGCAGCCGCCGUAA